UGGCGGCCUGGCGAGGGCAGGGAAGCUGGGGGGAAGCUGCCCGCCCGGGGAAGCUGCCCGCCCGCCCUGCACCCCUCCUCCUCGGUAACGCGCCCGCCUGGCCGUGUUCCCGAGUCCCAGCCUUUCUGACUCACCCCGCGAUCUGGGCACAUAGGAACGGGAGUGCAGGAAGAGAAUGAUGGCGGUGAUGACCGGCACAGAGCUGGUGGAUGCCGGACUGGAAGUGAGAGGGCCAGCAAGGCAGUGGAGAUGACCUCAAACACAGCACGUUUGCUCGCAUUCGUCGCUCUUUCAUGCGAGGCGGGGAGUGCUGAAUUACCUCUCCCUGGCCAUUCUACUCCGCAGUC